rnacentral:rRNA from 1 species
CCUACGGGUGGCAGCAGUGAGGAAUAUUGGUCAAUGGGCGCGAGCCUGAACCAGCCAAGUAGCGUGAAGGAUGACUGCCCUACGGGUUGUAAACUUCUUUUAUAAAGGAAUAAAGUGAGGCACGUGUGCCGUUUUGUAUGUACUUUAUGAAUAAGGAUCGGCUAACUCCGUGCCAGCAGCCGCGGUAAUACGGAGGAUCCGAGCGUUAUCCGGAUUUAUUGGGUUUAAAGGGAGCGUAGGUGGGUUGUUAAGUCAGGUGUGAAAGUUUGCGGCUCAACCCUAAAAUUGCCAUUGAUACUGGCAGUCUUGAGUACAGUUGAGGUAGGCGGAAUUCGUGGUGUAGCGGUGAAAUGCUUAGAUAUCACGCAGAACUCCGAUUGCGAAGGCAGCUUACUAACCUGACACUGACAUUGAUGCUCGAAAGUGUGGGUAUCAAACAGGAUUAGAUACCCCUGUAGUC